rnacentral:rRNA from 1 species
AAACGACUCUCGGCAACGGAUAUCUAGGCUCUCGCAUCGAUGAAGAACGUAGCAAAAUGCGAUACUUGGUGUGAAUUGCAGAAUCCCGUGAACCAUCAAGUUUUUGAACGCAAGUUGCGCCCGAAGCCAUUAGGCCGAGGGCACGUCUGCCUGGGCGUCUCAC